rnacentral:lncRNA from 1 species
CUUGAAAGAGAAUCAAAUGAGAAAAAGUUGAAGGAGGAACCGGUAGUAGAUUUAUACGGUGAUGCAUCUUCUGAGACAUUUUAGAUUGUAAUCGAUACACUUUUUUGAAUAUAUUAUCGUAAAUGAUGUAAUCUUGAUACGGUUUAAUACCUAAGUAAUAUAUAUUAAGCAAUGAUGGUGUUAAUGUCGACUGUUUUAGUUUAUAAAUUUUAUGGUUUGCAUUUUUU